UACGGGGGGGGCAAGCGUUGUUCGGAAUUACUGGGCGUAAAGGGCUCGUAGGUGGCCAACUAAGUCACACGUGAAAUCCCUCGGCUUAACCGGGGAACUGCGUGUGAUACUGGAUGGCUUGAGUUUGGGAGAGGGAUGCGGAAUUCCAGGUGAGCGGUGAAAUGCGUAGAUAUCUGGAGGAACACCGGUGGCGAAGGCGGCAUCCUGGACCAAUCUGACGCUGAGGAGCGAAAAGCCAGGGGGAGCAAACGGG
rnacentral:rRNA from 1 species